GACGAACCGUGCGAACGUUGUUCGGAAUCACUGGGCUUAAAGGGCGCGUAGGCGGGCUGCCAAGUCCGUGGUGAAAUCCCCCGGCUCAACCGGGGAAUGGCCUCGGAUACUGGUGGCCUCGAGGGAGGUAGGGGCGUGCGGAACUGUAGGUGGAGCGGUGAAAUGCGUUGAUAUCUACAGGAACUCCGGUGGCGAAGGCGGCACGCUGGACCUUUUCUGACGCUGAGGCGCGAAAGCCAGGGGAGCGAACGGG
rnacentral:misc_RNA from 1 species